AACGAACGCUAGCGGCAUGCCUAAUACAUGCAAGUCGAGGGGUAACGAGAGGAAAGCUUGCUUUCCUUGUUGACGACCGGCGCACGGGUGAGUAACGCGUAUCCAACCUGCCUAUAACUAGGGAAUAACCUUGCGAAAGUAAGACUAAUACCCUAUGAUUUCCUUUGAUGACAUCAGAUUAGGAAUAAAGAUUUAUCGGUUAUAGAUGGGGAUGCGUCUGAUUAGCUUGUUGGCGGGGUAACGGCCCACCAAGGCAACGAUCAGUAGGGGUUCUGAGAGGAAGGUCCCCCACAUUGGAACUGAGACACGGUCCAAACUCCUACGGGAGGCAGCAGUGAGGAAUAUUGGUCAAUGGGCGGAAGCCUGAACCAGCCAAGUAGCGUGCAGGAUGACGGCCCUAUGGGUUGUAAACUGCUUUUAUACAGGAAUAAAGUUAGCCACGUGUGGUUAUUUGUAGGUACUGUAUGAAUAAGGACCGGCUAAUUCCGUGCCAGCCGCCGCCGUAA
rnacentral:rRNA from 1 species